AAGACUCUACUUUCAGGGAUCAUUUCUUUAGUUUGGAACUAGAGGAUUGUGUUUCUACAGAGGUUGGUCUUGCUGUCCAUGAUGAUGAAUGAAGAUGUUUUCUUCAGAGCAGGAAGCUGGUGAGAAGAUGAGAAUCUUCUUCACUGAUGAAGACUGUUCAGUGUUUCUGGAUGUGACACUGAAGAAAGAAACAUUGUCUGAGUGGA
rnacentral:snoRNA from 1 species